rnacentral:rRNA from 1 species
AGUCGAGCGAAAAAUUGAGAGCUUGCUUUUAUUAUUUUAGCGGCGGACGGGUGAGUAACGUGUGGGUAACCUGCCUUUUACUGGGGAAUAAUCACUGGAAACGGUGACUAAUACCGCAUAAUAUUCUUAGGAGGCAUCUUCUGAGAAGGAAAGGAGAAAUUCGGUAAAAGAUGGGCCCGCAUCUGAUUAGCUAGUUGGUGAGAUAACAGCCCACCAAGGCGACGAUCAGUAGCCGACCUGAGAGGGUGACCGGCCACAUUGGGACUGAGACACGGCCCAAACUCCUACGGGAGGCAGCAGUGGGGAAUAUUGCACAAUGGGGGAAACCCUGAUGCAGCAACGCCGCGUGAAGGAAGACGGUUUUCGGAUUGUAAACUUCUAUCAAUAGGGAAGAAAGAAAUGACGGUACCUAAAUAAGAAGCCCCGGCUAACUACGUGCCAGCAGCCGCGGUAAUACGUAGGGGGCAAGCGUUAUCCGGAAUUACUGGGUGUAAAGGGAGAGUAGGCGGCAAGGUAAGCGAUAUGUGAAAGCCUUAGGCUUAACCUGAGGAUUGCAUAACGAACUAUCUAGCUAGAGUACAGGAGAGGAAAGCGGAAUUCCUAGUGUAGCGGUGAAAUGCGUAGAUAUUAGGAAGAACACCAGUGGCGAAGGCGGCUUUCUGGACUGAAACUGACGCUGAGGCUCGAAAGCGUGNGGAGCGAACAGGAUUAGAUNCCCUGGUAGUCCACGCUGUAAACGAUGAGUGCUAGGUGUCGGGGAGGAAUCCUCGGUGCCGGAGCAAACGCAAUAAGCACUCCACUUGGGGAGUA